UACGAAGGGGGCUAGCGUUGCUCGGAAUUACUGGGCGUAAAGCGUGCGCAGGCGGUUUUGUAAGCCAGAUGUGAAAGCCCCGGGCUCAACCUGGGAAUGGCAUUUGGGACUGCAAGGCUGGAGUUUGGCAGAGGAGACUGGAAUUCCCGGUGUAGCAGUGAAAUGCGUAGAUAUCGGGAGGAAUACCGAUGGCGAAGGCAGGUCUCUGGGCUAUAACUGACGCUCAUGCACGAAAGCGUGGGGAGCAAACAGG
rnacentral:rRNA from 1 species